CAGAUGUGAAAGACCCGGGGCGUCAACCUCGGAAUUGCAUUUGAAACUAGGCAAACUAGAGUACUGUAGAGGGGGGUAGGAAUUUCAGGUGUAGCGGUGAAAUGCGUAGAGAUCUGAAGGAAUACCGGUGGCGAAGGCGGCCCCCUCGGACAGAUACUGACACUCAAAUGCGAAAGCGUGGGGAGCAAACAGGAUUAGAUACCCUGGUAG
rnacentral:rRNA from 1 species